UGGGGAAUAUUGGACAAUGGGCGAAAGCCUGAUCCAGCCAUGCCGCGUGUGUGAAGAAGGUCUUCGGAUUGUAAAGCACUUUAAGUUGGGAGGAAGGGCUGCAAGUUAAUACCUUGUAGUUUUGACGUUACCAACAGAAUAAGCACCGGCUAACUUCGUGCCAGCAGCCGCGGUAAUACGAAGGGUGCAAGCGUUAAUCGGACUUACUGGGCGUAAAGCGCGCGUAGGUGGUUUGGUAAGAUGGAUGUGAAAUCCCCGGGCUCAACCUGGGAACUGCAUCCAUAACUGCCUGACUAGAGUACGGUAGAGGGUGGUGGAAUUUCCUGUGUAGCGGUGAAAUGCGUAGAUAUAGGAAGGAACACCAGUGGCGAAGGCGACCACCUGGACUGAUACUGACACUGAGGUGCGAAAGCGUGGGGAGCAAACA
rnacentral:rRNA from 1 species